CUCGGGAGUACUUUGGAAAGCCAUUGUCACUUAACACAGUCUGUCGCUGCAUCCAGAAAUGCAACUUGAAACUGUAUUACGCAAGGAGGAAGCCAUACAUCAACUCUAUGCAGAAACGCCGGUGAGUUCUCUGGGCCCGAGCUCAUCUCAGAUGGACAGAAAGACUGUGGAACCGUGUGCUGUGGUCAGAUGAGUCCACAUUUCAGCUAGUUUUCUGGAAAAACAGGCAUCCAGUUCUCCGUGCCAAAGAUGAAAAUGACCAUCCUGAUUGUUAUCAGCGAAAGGUGCAAAAGCCAGCAUCUGUGAUGGUAUGGGGGUGCAUCAGUGCCCACGGCAUGGAAAGAAUAUGUGAUGAAGAAAAAGGAAGAAAUCAAAAGAAGACAAAAUGUUAAAAGCCUCAUUAAGAUGAAUGCACAGAUGAAGAACAGAUGCUAGCACCACCAGUAUACUAACC